rnacentral:rRNA from 1 species
UUUGCCUACGGGACGCAGCAGUAGGGAAUAUUGCUCAAUGGGGGAAACCCUGAAGCAGCAACGCCGCGUGAGUGAAGAAGGUUUUCGGAUCGUAAAACUCUGUUGGUAGAGAAGAACGUUGGUGAGAGUGGAAAGCUCAUCAAGUGACGGUAACUACCCAGAAAGGGACGGCUAACUACGUGCCAGCAGCCGCGGUAAUACGUAGGUCCCGAGCGUUGUCCGGAUUUAUUGGGCGUAAAGCGAGCGCAGGUGGUUUAUUAAGUCUGGUGUAAAAGGCAGUGGCUCAACCAUUGUAUGCAUUGGAA